rnacentral:rRNA from 1 species
UACGUAGGGUGCAAGCGUUGUCCGGAAUUAUUGGGCGUAAAGAGCUCGUAGGCGGUUUGUUGCGUCGGCUGUGAAAUCCCGAGGCUCAACCUCGGGUCUGCAGUCGAUACGAGCAAACUAGAGUGUUGCAGGGGAGACUGGAAUUCCUGGUGUAGCGGUGAAAUGCGCAGAUAUCAGGAGGAACACCGGGUGGCGAAGGCGGGUCUCUGGGCAACAACUGACGCUGGAGGAGCGAAAGCGUGGGGAGCGAACAGG